GACCGGAUAGCUCAGUGGUUAGAGUGUUCCCCUAGAUUGGACAGGUCCUUGGUUCAAACCCAAGUCUGGUCA
rnacentral:tRNA from 1 species